UACGUAGGUCCCGAGCGUUGUCCGGAUUUAUUGGGCGUAAAGCGAGCGCAGGUGGUUUAUUAAGUCAGAGGUGAAAGGCUACGGCUCAACCGUAGUAAGCCUUUGAAACUGGGAAACUUGAGUGCAGGAGAGGAGAGUGGAAUUCCUAGUGUAGCGGUGAAAUGCGUAGAUAUUAGGAGGAACACCAGUUGCGAAGGCGGCUCUCUGGACUGUAACUGACACUGAGGCACGAAAGCGUGGGGAGCAAACAGG
rnacentral:rRNA from 1 species